AUCGUUUAAGGAGGCACAGAGCAGUAUGAAUGCUGACUCAUGACAAAAUGGACAUCCUCAGGAUAAAUGCUUAUUAGGAAUCCAUUUGGCUGUUUCUAUUUGUGGAGUCAAUUGUGAGACAUCCAUUUAUCAUAGCUGUGGAAAACUAGCAGAAGGUCCAGAGAAAAGCCAUGGAAACGAUGAAGAACCAGGAAAAUGGAUGUCAGCCAUGUAUCCAGGAGAGAUUCAACUUGACAGAGUCUAAGUCUUCAUGUGACGGUGACGAGGCACUUGUAGCAGACCUCUCUCCCACCUCCUUCAUAUUUCUCCUCUGUAUGGAUAUUCCUCCCCCCAUGCUGACCCCAUGUGUUGUGUCUCUGACUUGAGGUUCUUUAGAUGACUGUAAUAUCUCACAAAGAAAACCACCAUGAGACUUUCUGGAUUCCAUGAAGAAAAAAAAAUGUUUUACAUUAAAUCCAGCCACUCUAUGAUUUAGAUAUUAUUAUACCAAACAACAGACUGGUUCCAAAUUGGGAAAGGAGUAUGUGAAGGCUGCAUAUUGUCACCCUGCUUAUUUAACUUAUAUACAAAGUACAUCAUGA